UAUAAAGAAUCUAUUGAAAUUGUAUUCUCCCCUGGACUCGUACACUUUUCGGUACCCACCCUUUUGCUUCAUCUCGAAGAAGUUGAAUUUUGAUCUUUUUCUUACAAAUAAGUUAUUGAUCAAGCAAUUACUUGAUGAAGCGAAUCAUGAAUAGCUCAAAUGCUCGUAGAGGAAAAUCUUCAGUUCCACAAAGAGGGCAAUACAGGGGAGUGAGACAGAGGCCCUGGGGGAAAUGGGCUGCCGAGAUUCGUGAAACUUCUGGUCGUCGUCUCUGGCUUGGCACCUAUAACACUGCAGAGGAAGCUGCCGUGGCUUAUGACCGUGCUGCAAUUCGGAUACGAGGUGAUCAUGCUCUGCUCAAUUUUCCGGAUUGUAGUAAAAUAUGGAGAGCUAAAUUAGUGUCUCCUGUCGGUGGUUCAACAUCAGGAGACAAAGGUGUUGCGGAAUGUGGGGCAUCUUGUAGAGAUGAUAUGAAGUUGGGACUAGGUAAAGAAAUUGGUGAGAGGAAUGCAGAAGUAAUGCAAGACAACAUAUGGGAACAGUUUCUCCAAUUGGAUACUCCGGAGUCACUUUGUGGAACUGAUGAGAAUCAGGGUACUGAAAAUCGUGAUGAUUUAGGUAGUAUAGCAAGUGGUACCAGGACAGAUGGUGAUUGCAGUGAAAAUGAAGCUAUGAGCAGUGUAUAUGACUGUAUGCACAGAUCAGGAAUCAGUUUUAAUCAUGACCUCCCUUCCAGUUUCGAUGUUUGGCAGCCGGAUUGGGAAAGGAGUGACCUGAUGCCUGAUGGAGUUUCGGAUAUGUUUUGGAAUAACUGGAAUUGGGAGGUGCCAUUUAAUUUUCAUAUACCAACUGAUGAGAUGCAGGGUGCUAAAAAUCGUGAUGAUAUAGAUAGUAUAAUAAGUGGUACCAACACAGAUGGUACUUGCAGUGAAAAUGAAGCUAUAAGCGGUGUAUAUGAAAAUAAUAGCAGUAUGCUGAUACUAGAAAACUUCUCUUCUGCUGAUAAAUGGGAAAAGCUGAAAGGGGAUGUACGAGGAGAUAUUGCUGUAGCAAGCAGACAGUAUGGGAGUGUUUCAGGAGUACUCCCAGCACACCAAGCUGGAAGCUGGAAUAUGGGUUCGCUACCCCAAGAACAAGCUGAAAAAGAAACAAUGAUUUCAGAAAAGCAAGAGAAUACAUCCCAACAACUUCAACUCAUUGCGCAAUCAUUGUUUAAAGACGUCACUGACAAAAAUGAGCAAGUUCUGGACACGAGGAAGAGCACCUUAAACAUCGAUUUACAUGAAGAAAUCGCUGCAGGAGAAAUGUAUAGAAGAACUUCGAACAAUAUACAAGACAUCACUCAUUUACAUAAAAAUCUGGACAGAACUGAAGAAGAUUUACCUAUUAAGUGUGCUGAACCUCGGCCUCUCACUCACGAACCCAAGAGAUCUAAUGAGAAGGGGAACACCAUGGAGAUAAAUUUUUCUGCUUCAGAGGUGAUUUUAAAAGAGGUUAUACGAGAGAGAACACACACUUUGGCUGAUCAAGGAGUGGAUGAAUUGGAACAACAUAUGCCCAGCAAGUCUAUUGAACCUCGGUCCCUCACUUCCCAACCAAUAAAUUCUGUAGAAUUCUUAGAAGAUGAGAGAAAUGCUGUCAGAAGCGAACUUCCGGGCAGGGACGGAGUCAUGAAGAUUCAUCAUUCUGCUUUGAAAGGAACUUCUGAAGAGAUUGUUAAAGAGCAUGCUGUGGCAGUUGAAAGGGAUGAACCCAUAGAAGAAUCAGCUGCUGAUGACUUUGAGUAUGCUGCGAGUUGUGAAGACGUGGGACAUGCUAUGAUUACUGCAUCCCAGCCUUCCAGUUUGCAAACCAUGAAAUCGUUACCCCAACAAGUCAAUAUGAAAAAAGUGGUGUUAGAAAAUGAAGGAGAUGCAUCCUCUCAACUUCCCUGCAUUUUGCAACCGUGUGAGGAUGGCAAUGAACUAGAGGAUCAAGUUUUGGAGAUGCAGAAGAGUACCCCAAUCAUUAACUCACAUAAAGUUGAUGAAUUGCAAGAAGCGCCACCUACCAUUAGCAAAGAGAGUCUUAGCCAGCAUUUUGGGAAAUCACUAGAUGAAGCAAGAGAGAUAUUUGGUGUUAGUCGAUCUGAAUUUAAAAGGAGGUGCAGAGAUGUUGGUAUUAAAAGGUGGCAAUAUGGCAAGAGAAAGAUGGGUAGCAACCGUUCUUCAAAGCACAAGCAAAGACUAAACAAUGGGUAUUCGACAGACAUGCCUCAUGUGCAAGAUCAACCUGUUAUUUCCCAUACAACCCGGGUCUUGAAUACGAUGGAUGUAAAGGUGAUGUAUAACGACCUCAUUAUAAGGUUUGAACUGCCUGAACUAUCAGGAAUAUCAGAGUUAGAAGACAAUGUGAUUAAGAGGCUGCACUUGGAUAGACAGAGUUUCAGCAUCAAGUAUGAAGAUGAUGGCGGUCAUUGGGUUUUAAUUACUUGUGACGAGGAUGUGCAGUACUGUAUGAAAAUGUCAAGAUUAUGGAAGAAGAAAACUAUUAAUAUGUUGGUUAGCCAGACUGCUAAUCUUUAAGCUCCUUGAAAGCAGAUGGCACCCAUUUUUUACCCUCCCAGAGAUAUUUAUAUGAUCUGCUUGCUGCCUUUUCUACAGCACUUCUUGUGAAAAAAUAUACCAUGGAGAGGCUAGCAGAGAUAUACAGCAAAAGUUGCUUAGAGUGCUCUAACAGAGAAAGUGAUGAUGAGUAUGAUUGGAUUCCUGCAAAGAUUUUAAGGUGUUUCUAUGACAAAGAUUUCAGGUCAGAUGCUGUCGAACCUAUCCUAUGCUCAUCCCUUUUUCCCAAUGAGUUUUCUGUCAAAGAUAAGGUUAGAAAAUGGGUUAGAGUUUUUCCAAGAUUUGACAGAUUGAAAUAAAGGCUCUUGAAAAAAUACUGUUGCAAAGCAAAGGUUACAGCAAGAGAUGCUGAGGUAUCUUUCCUCAAGGCAGAUGCAUCAGGAGAAUGAUGUUCCAGAGUUCCAGAAAAAGGCUAUGACUUGCUUCCGCAUUAUGUCUCGUAGUUUUAUAGAUCCAGGAAAAACAGAGGAGAACAUUUUAAUACGUGAUGAAUUAAAAGAUGCUGAUGUUUGGAAAAAUAUUACAACUCUACAUGAUCAAGUACUAUAUGUCUACAAGCUUGUUGUUCUCGGGAUGAUGUACUAAAGAUCCUUGGGGAGAAGCAUGGACUCUAUGAGUAUUACGUGCUCUCUCGAUGAAAUGUUCAUAUAUACUCUUUAACAAAGAACAUGUCAAAGAAAUCCUUCAAGAGGCUGAUAUGCAGAAAUCUUCUGGGAAUGCAGAGUUUACUUUGUCUUGCAUGAAUAUACUUGUGGUAGAACUUUUAUCCCACACCCAGUAUAUUGCUUAUCAUAUAGAAUUAUAGAUCAUAAAAUAUAUGGUGAUGUGAUCGUCAUUUGCAGUUGUGCUACAC